GACGAACGCUGGCGGCGUGCUUAACACAUGCAAGUCGUACGGUAAGGCCCUUUCGGGGGUACACGAGUGGCGAACGGGUGAGUAACACGUGAGUAACCUGCCCACAACUUUGGGAUAACGCUAGGAAACUGGUGCUAAUACUGGAUAUGUGCCCCUGCUGCAUGGUGGGGGUUGGAAAGCUCCGGCGGUUGUGGAUGGACUCGCGGCCUAUCAGCUUGUUGGUGGGGUAGUGGCCUACCAAGGCGGCGACGGGUAGCCGGCCUGAGAGGGUGACCGGCCACAUUGGGACUGAGAUACGGCCCAGACUCCGACGGGAGGCAGCAGUGGGGAAUAUUGCACAAGGGGCGCAAGCCGGAUGCAGCAACGCCGCGGGCGGGAUGACGGCCUUCGGGUUGUAAACCGCUUUCAGCAGGGACGAAGCUUUUUGUGACGGUACCUGCAGAAGAAGCACCGGCUAACUACGUG
rnacentral:rRNA from 1 species